rnacentral:rRNA from 1 species
ACCUGCGGAGGGAUCAUUACCGAGUUUACAACUCCCAAACCCAUGUGAACAUACCUAUUGUUGCUUCGGCGGGAUUGCCCCGGGCGCCUCGUGUGCCCCGGAUCAGGCGCCCGCCUAGGAAACUCAACUCUUGUUUUAUUUUGGAAUCUUCUGAGUAGUUUUUACAAAUAAAUAAAAACUUUCAACAACGGAUCUCUUGGUUCUGGCAUCGAUGAAGAACGCAGCGAAAUGCGAUAAGUAAUGUGAAUUGCAGAAUUCAGUGAAUCAUCGAAUCUUUGAACGCACAUUGCGCCCGCCAGUAUUCUGGCGGGCAUGCCUGUCUGAGCGUCAUUUCAACCCUCAUGCCCCUAGGGCGUGGUGUUGGGGAUCGGCCAAAGCCCGCGAGGGACGGCCGGCCCCUAAAUCUAGUGGCGGACCCGUCGUGGCCUCCUCUGCGAAGUAGUGAUAUUCCGCAUCGGAGAGCGAUGAGCCCCUGCCGUUAAACCCCCAACUUUCUAAGGUUGACCUCAGAUCAGGUAGGAAUACCCGCUGAACUUAAGCAUAUCAAUAA